AGGCAAGACCGAUGUAGACAGCUAUCUGCCCCAAUGUCCAACCCCACCUGCAGAGGAGCUGACCACAGGAAGCUGUGAAGUCCCUGACCCUAAUCUUGUCUUUUCACUAGGGAUACAGGAUGGCUAUGACGGUUAAUUUUAUGUUUCAACUUGACUGGACCAAGGGGUGUCCAAAGAGCUGGCAAAACAUUGCUCCUGGGUGCGUCUGUGAAGGUGUCUCUGGAGGAGAUCAGCCUUUGCGCUGGCAGACUUUGUAAAGACGGAUGGCUUCCAGCAGUGUCGGUGGGCUUCAUCCAAUCCAUGAGGGCCUGAAUUGAACAAAAAGGCAGAGGAAAGAUGGAUUCGUUCUCUCUGCUUGAGCUGGGACAUCCGUCUUUGCCUGUGGACAUCACUGUUGCUGUUUCUUGGGCUUCUGGACUCAGACCGGGACUCACACCAUCAUCCCCCUUGCACCCCUCCCCCGCCCCCCCACCA